AUUGAACGCUGGCGGCAGGCCUAACACAUGCAAGUCGAACGAAGUGGCGAACGGGUGAGUAAUACGUGAGUAACCUGCCCUCCUUUUUGGGAUAAGCCUUGGAAACGGGGUCUAAUACCGAAUAAAGGGGGAGGGGCUCGCGGCCUAUCAGCUUGUUGGGGGGGUGAUGGCCUACCAAGGCGGUGACGGGUAGCCGGCCUGGGAGGGUGACCGGCGACAUGGGGACUGAGAUACGGCGCAGACUCGUACGGGAGGCAGCAGUGGGGAAUAUUGCACAAUGGGCGGAAGCCUGAUGCAGCGACGCCGCGUGGGGGAUGACGGCCUUCGGGUUGUAAACUCCUUUCACCAUCGACGCGGUAGAUGGAGAAGAAGCACCGGCUAACUACGUGCCAGCAGCCGCGGUAAUUC
rnacentral:rRNA from 1 species